rnacentral:misc_RNA from 1 species
AUAGCAAGGAUUAUACGAAGGAAGAAUUUAUCGAAAUUGUAACAACACAGUGUUUUCCAUUGUUUUUGGUGACCAUAUACAAAACAUUAUGCAUAGAUAAUUUAUUUUUGUAGGUAGUGUAGGAUUUCGUGACUUAUCUUGAUCACAGUAGUGAUGAUGAAAAGCCCUGAGAAAGUGAAGGAGAUCAUAGCCAUUAUUUGUUCUCAAUCUAGAC